ACAGCUAAGACAGACAGAAGCUGGUAACUUGCUCAAGGUCCAGAGCUAAUAGACAGCAGCGCUGGCAAUGAGGCAGUGAUUGAGGUGCCUGUGGCUGUCUUCCUGCUGUCCCGGUAACCACUGUCAUCUGACCUAAAACCACGGACUGAGAGGGCUCAUCAAAAACAGGUUCUUGCUUUGAACAACAGAACACUUUGAGUGACUCACUGGUCAGAUGCUGUAAGGUAUUUUUUU
rnacentral:lncRNA from 1 species